CAGGCCAUUCAGAGAACCAGUUUGCACAAUGUGAACAACACCCGUGACCAAACCAUGGACAAAAGACUGCGGUGGUUACAGGAUGUGAAUAGCACCCGUGAGCCGUGACCAUACCAUCUUCUUCUCUGAACCGCCCACACCAAAGAGAGAGAGACAGAGGUCCCCUUCAUCUCAGCUAAGACGAGCGGCGUCAGGUUGGAAAAAUCAAGAACGACGGUGCAGCGCAGCGUGAGGAUUUCGUCGACUACCCAAAGUUCUCGGUGGUAGAUGUGGCAAUAGGUGAAGCACCCAUGGAUCCCAUCUUCUCCAGAACCAAUAGCCAGAUACCUUCACAUCACCCGUCAAUCGACAUGGAUCUUGUUGAAGACGAGAACGACAGCAGACCAGCGACGCCGCCGUGCCGCCGACCAUGCUGGGAGACGAUGGAUGGAUAAGACGGCAGAGAAACAGAACUAGCAAUUCUUUCCGGGCACCAAUAGAAGGAUAUCGAAGUGCUAUAGAGCGUGCAAUUGAAGAAGCAUCAAAACUUGGGAAACAGUUGUUUUCGAACCAGCUAUUGACUUAAUCAAUGAAAUGGCAAGUCUUUUGCCUUUGUUCCAAAAAAAAAAUAUCCGAGCAGGAGGCGUAUCAGUUCUACAACGCAUAUUUAUGGUGGCUUGGAUUCAGCAUCAAGCGGGGAAACAAAUAUGUCAAUGACUCAAAAUACAAAUCAAAGCAGCAAGUUUCGAAGUGGCUUUUUUUUGGGAAAAGUUUCGAAGUGGCUUAUUUAGGUCAAUAAAAUAUAUAUCGCUGGGUUGCUAAGAUAUCCACGAUAGUCGGAGAAAGUAGCACCCAAGUGCUCAAAGCUUACACAGAUUACCAGAACAAACGUACCUUACGGAGUACACGCUUAUGUGCGUGCCCUCAUUAGCCCCCCUGAUACUACCAUUCAUCACAAUGCAGUCUCCAUUCCUUUGUGUUGUGCACAGCAAAUUAAACAUCACAUUUGGCAAAGUACACAAGGAACAUACUUGAAAAAUAAAAUGGUAGACAGACAA